CGGAGGGUGCAAGCGUUAUCCGGAUUCACUGGGUUUAAAGGGUGCGUAGGUGGGUAAGUAAGUCAGUGGUGAAAUCUCCGGGCUUAACCCGGAAACUGCCAUUGAUACUAUUUGUCUUGAAUACUGUGGAGGUCAGCGGAAUAUGUCAUGUAGCGGUGAAAUGCUUAGAUAUGACAUAGAACACCAAUUGCGAAGGCAGCUGGCUACACAAAUAUUGACACUGAGGCACGAAAGCGUGGGGAUCAAACAGGAUUAGAUACCCUGGUAGUCCACGCCCUAAACUAUGGAUACUCGACAUUUGCGAUAAACUGCAAGUGUCUGAGCGAAAGCAUUAAGUAUCCCACCUGGGAAGUACAAUCGCAAGAUUG
rnacentral:rRNA from 1 species